rnacentral:rRNA from 1 species
AUUGAACGCUGGCGGCAUACCUUACACAUGCAAGUCGAACGGUAACAGGUCUUCGGAUGCUGACGAGUGGCGAACGGGUGAGUAAUACAUCGGAACGUGCCUAGUAGUGGGGGAUAACUACUCGAAAGAGUGGCUAAUACCGCAUGAGAUCUACGGAUGAAAGAAGGGGAUCGCAAGACCUUGUGCUACUAGAGCGGCCGAUGGCGGAUCAGGUAGUUGGUGGGAUAAAAGCUUACCAAGCCGACGAUCUGUAGCUGGUCUGAGAGGACGAUCAGUCACACUGGGACUGAGAGACGGGCCAGACUCCUACGGGAGGCAGAAGUGGGGAAUUUUGGACAAUGGGCGCAAGCAUGAUCCAGCAAUGCCGCGUGCAUGAUGAAGGCCUUCGGGUUGUAAACUGCUUUUUGACGGAACGAAAAGCCCCGGGUUAAUAGCCUGGGGUCAUGACGUUACCGUAAGAAUAAGCACCGGCUAACUACGUGCCAGCCGCCGCCGUAA